GAGUGAUAGGUGCCCUCUUCGCCCUGCUCGAUUUCGUAGCUCACUUUGACGGGCCCGGAGUCGUCAGUCACCACUUGCGAUGUUGGUGAUGCUUCUGCAUGAUCACAAACUUAUCUAAGCCAAAUACCCUAGCGAGCUUCCUCUGUUCGCACCAAGCGGCAAAUCAACAGCGGACAAGUGGUCUAACACAGGUGGCGCAAUGCAAGCACGUCUUUGUUAUAUGUAUUAUUAUUUGAGUAAAUCUAUCAUAAUAAGGACUGAGUGCUGAA